GACGAACGCUGGCGGCGUGCUUAACACAUGCAAGUCGAACGGAAAGGCCCUGCUUUUGUGGGGUGCUCGAGUGGCGAACGGGUGAGUAACACGUGAGUAACCUGCCCUUGACUUUGGGAUAACUUCAGGAAACUGGGGCUAAUACCGGAUAGGAGCUCCUGCUGCAUGGUGGGGGUUGGAAAGUUUCGGCGGUUGGGGAUGGACUCGCGGCUUAUCAGCUUGUUGGUGGGGUAGUGGCUUACCAAGGCUUUGACGGGUAGCCGGCCUGAGAGGGUGACCGGCCACAAUGGGACUGAGGUACGGCCCCGACUCCUACGGGGGGGAGCAGUGGGGAAUAUUGCACAAUGGGCGGAAGCCUGAUGGAGCAACGCCGCGUGCGGGAUGACGGCCUUCGGGUUGUAAACCGCUUUCGCCUGUGACGAAGCGUGAGUGACGGUAAUGGGUAAAGAAGCACCGGCUAACUACGUG
rnacentral:rRNA from 1 species